rnacentral:tRNA from 1 species
ACUUAAAUAGCUUAUGUUAGAGUUUAAUAUUGAAGAUAUUAAGGAGAUUGAUAAAAUCUUUAAGUA